rnacentral:rRNA from 1 species
CGCGUAGGCGGUUUUUCAAGCGUGCGGUGAAAGCUCAGGGCUCAACCCUGAGUCGGCCGUGCGAACUGGGAGACUGGAGCACGGUAGAGGCACAUGGAAUUCCGGGUGUAGCGGUGGAAUGCGUAGAGAUCCGGAAGAACACCGGUGGCGAAGGCGGUGUGCUGGGCCGUUGCUGACGCUGAGGCGCGACAGCGUGGGGAGCAAACAGGAUUAGAUACCCUGGUAGUCCACGCCGUAAACGAUGGGCACUAGGUCCUUGGGGGAGCGACCCCUUGAGGGCCGGCGCAAACGCAUUAAGUGCCCCGCCUGGGGAGUACGGCCGCAAGGCUGAA